UUAACUCAGAUUUGUAUGCAGUUGGAACAGCGCCCCUAGCGGCAAACGUAGGCAAACGUUCCAACUCCUUACAAAUUUGAGUUA
rnacentral:pre_miRNA from 1 species